rnacentral:piRNA from 1 species
UCUUACAGCAAAGUGAUAGAUAACAAGA